rnacentral:tRNA from 1 species
GCCGAUGUAGCUCAGUUGGCCAGAGCAGCUCACUUGUAAUGAGCAUGUCGGGGGUUCGAAUCCCUCCAUCGGCUCCA